ensembl:lncRNA
GAUUACUGCUCCCUCCCCUAAUGUGUCUCAGCUGUUCCUCGUUGCGUGUCUUGUGUUUGGUAUUUAAGCCCUUGUCUUUCCUUUGUUCCUGGUGCUGUCAUUAUGGUUUGUUGGUCCUGCAUGCUCUCUGUGGCUACCUGUGUUCCUUUACUCCUUGCUCCUUGCUCUUUGCCUUAGCCUUUUGGCAGAAAUAAAGUGCCGUUUCCUUUACCCGUCUGCAUCUGGGUCCUACCUGCCUGCCUGCACCCGCAACUCCUAACAGAAUGACCGCACCAAGUUUGGACCCAGUGGACGCUCAGUUUUUCCGUGAGUUGGAGGAUUUGUUGGUGACGAUAAUCCUAGCUAUGGAUGGCUGGGAGAACAUUCCCAGCAGGAAGGAGCAGGAGGCUGUGUUGGGGCGUACGUGCAGGGCUGUUGCGUCAAGGCCAGAGUUGGAGGACACCUUACCCGAGUGGGCAGUCGAGCUGCUCAACCCCACAACCUUUUGGCCGGAGAGCUACAUGCCACUGCCACCGGACUUUGGUGACCGGCCUAAGCCUCCACGCUCCUGCUCUCAGCCUCUGCCUCCGGUCCCCAGCUACCAGCCUCUGCCCCCGGUUCCCCGCUACCAGCCUCUGCCCCCGGUCCCCAGCUACCAGCCUCUGCCCCCGGUUCCCAGCUACCAGCCUCUGCCCCCGGUCCCCAGCUACCAGCCUCCUCCCUUCCGGACAAUCAGAGUGGGGGUGGUGAGUUUGGGGUACCACCCGGUUCCUCCUGGCACUCCAGCUCCCGCACUGACUCUGGUUCCCGAGCCCUGUCCGGUUCCUGAGCCCACUCCUCUCCUGCCGGAGGGGGCCCGCCCUCCGCUCCUGCCUGUGGGCUCCCGUCUUCCAGAGGGGGUCCGCCCUCUACCUCGCCUUCCUCCAGAGGGGACCAGCCCUCUACCUUGCCUUCCUGAGGGUCCCGCCUUCCAGAGGGGACCAGCCCUCUACCUUGCCUUCCUCUGGGGUCCCGCCUUCCAGAGGGGGUCCGCCCUCUACCUCGCCUUCCUCCAGAGGGGAUUAGCCCUCUACCUUGCCUUCCUGAGGGGUCCCGCCCUCUACCUGGCCUUCCACCAGAGAGGGCCCGCCCUCUACCUGGCCUUCCUCCAGAGGGUACCCGCCUUCCAGAGGGGGUCCGCCCUUUACCUCGCCUUCCUCCAGAGGGGACCAGCCCUCUACCUUGCCUUCCUGAGGGGUCCCGCCUUCCAGAGGGGGUCCGCCCUCUACCUCGCCUUCCUCCAGAGGGGAUUAGCCCUCUACCUUGCCUUCCUGAGGGGUCCCGCCUUCCAGAGGGGACCCGCCCUCUACCUGGCCUUCCUCCAGAGGGGACCCGCCCUCUACCUGGCCUUCCACCAGAGGGGACCCGCCCUCUACCUGGCCUUCCACCAGAGGGUGUGGUAGAAAUUAAGGAGUAUAUUCUGUGGUGAACCAUGAUUGUGAUGAGGUCUGUGUGUCUAAUAGUGGAGAAACACACGGGGCCUGGGUGUCUGGGUUCAGAACAGAUGGUGGGGCCCCUAAAAAGGAGCAGGACGCUACGGGGAUAAGGCAUGCUGACCUUAGCCUAGUGUUUUGGGCUAUCUUUGUUGACCAUUUGCUGACCAAUUGCUGACUGUUCAGGUUAAGAUGAAUUUAUGACUGAACAGGAGGCAGACACCUCAAGGAGAAGCCGUUCAGUUUGUGUGUAUAUAAAGAAGCUGGAAUCGAUGUUCAAGGAGUGACUCUUAAGACCUACUCGGCUGUUAUCAUUGUUGUUUUUCUUCACGAUAAAGUCUUUUGUCAAUUCUUGCUCCGGACCCCUCGAUUUAUUUUACUCUCUCUCUCUCUUGAAUUAGUCUAAGUGUUUAUAUCUCGAUUAAUCUACUACAUAAUUGGCGUCACGAACAGGAUAAAAUAGGGACUCGCCAGCUGCCGGGCCAGAGGACGGGACGCGAACGGAUCAUACGACCAGAGCUCAAGGGUAAGUUGUCUUGCCAUAUAUAGGAUAGAGUCGUUUGAUCUGUUCUUGCCCCGUCUGAAACGCUCAGCAGCAGGUAAAGUGUCUCUUUGAUCAAACAAACCAAAAUUAUAGAUAAAUUAGCGAGUGAGAGAUACGGGGGCUCCGCGGGAGAGAUUGACGUGCGCGCGCACAUGUGCCAUACGCGCGUCUGUGGUUCUAAAUGACCAAGACGCUUUGUGGCUCCCUAUUUUGAUACGAGUUGUUAUUUGGUGUUUUGGUUAAAUAGGCUUACUGUAAGUCUUGUGACUGUCUUGUGGAGGAACGAAUUAGUGGAAAGUUCUAACAAGGACAGGGCCAGCAGGCCCGCAGGUCGAAAGAAACAGACCUGUAGGAUUUUUUCUGACAGUAUCCUAUUUGGAGUUGAGUUGUCAGUUGGGAAUGAAUUCAGUCAUUUUUAUUUGAGGAGCUUUCUUGGGAUGCUGACUAGUGAAUUUUAAAUACUCAUCUUGGUGCAGUUGAACUGCAGAUCCUGCACCAAUGAUGGUGAAUUUCUGAUUCCGAUCUUGCUAUUUUGAGAAAACAGGCUUCUCGCACUUUUUGAAUAGAUAAGUCUCUUGGUUGGGAUACCGCUUCAGGUGAUUAGCUAAUCCUGAUCUUGGUGUUUUGAGAAGUUUCUUGUUUGUUCUUGAUCUGUUCGAAUGGUUAUGUAUACAGCCAUUAUUUUAAAAGAAUGGGCUUGUCGUUUGACGUUCCGUUUGAAUGAGUUUGACCCGCUAAUCUUCCAAUCACGCUGCAGUGUUGGAUCUAAAGAAAGGGCCAGUCUGUAACUCUGAUCUUGGUGCUGUGUGGCAAUAGGUUCUUGUUUGAAAUUCUGGUCGAUUGAUUAUCCAUCCGACUGUUCAUGUUUUAACCAAAAGGCCAGUUUCUACGCUCGGUCAACCUUUUUCUUUGUAAUUAAUUACAAACAAUUCUGACAUUUUUCAAUGUAAUAUUAAAAUUGUAUGAAUCGGUUUAUUGUCUGUAUUUAAGUCGUGUUAGGAUUAAGUUACCUCGGAGAUUUUUACGACCCGGUUUAUUUUUUGUUGAUUCUGUCAUAAAUAAAUUAGGCGGACAGAGAAUAGUUAAUUUGUUUGAAGUAGUUGAUAAUCAUAAAUAAAUUAGACGGAUAGAGAAUAGUUAAUUUGUUGAAGUAUUGAAUAAAUGUGUAAAUCUUCUUUGACUUAAACAUCAUCGCGCGGACUAACUGCACGUGCACGAGCAAUUUCACAGGGUACGAGCAGGAGCCUGCAGGCCAGGGUUAAAGAUAACAGUGAAGGGUUGGGGCCACAUUCCAAUCUUCGGGAGGGAGACGAG